GGAGUUAGCCGGUGCUUCUUCUGCGAGUAACGUCACAGAUGUAAGGUAUUAACUUACACCCUUUCCUCCUCGCUGAAAGUGCUUUACAACCCGAAGGCCUUCUUCACACACGCGGCAUGGCUGCAUCAGGGUUUCCCCCAUUGUGCAAUAUUCCCCACUGCUGCCUCCCGUAGGAGUCUGGGCCGUGUCUCAGUCCCAGUGUGGCUGAUCAUCCUCUCAGACCAGCUAGGGAUCGUCGCCUAGGUGAGCCUUUACCUCACCUACUAGCUAAUCCCACCUGGGCUUAUCCAUCAGCGCAAGGCCCGAAGGUCCCCUGCUUUCCCCCGUAGGGCGUAUGCGGUAUUAGCAGUCGUUUCCAACUGUUAUCCCCCACAAAUGGGCAAAUUCCCAGGCAUUACUCACCCGUCCGCCGCUCGUCAUCUUCAAAGCAAGCUUUUGAAAUGUUACCGCUCGACUUGCAUGUGUUAGGCCUGCCGCCAGCGUUCAAUCUGAGCCAGAUCGAAACCUGACUACGAGCGGCGCGCGACGACGC
rnacentral:rRNA from 1 species